rnacentral:lncRNA from 1 species
CCAUUUCCAAAAAUUUCCUUGAGUCUAGAAUUCAAAUGAAGGCUGUUAUUAUGUGUUGUGUUGUGUUGUGUUGUGUUGUGUUGUGUUGUGUUGUGUUGUGUUGUGUUGUGUUUUUGAUCCAGUCCAGUGAAGGGAGCUCUGAGCAUGGAGAUUUCUUCAACAAUACCAAAAUCGUAACUGAAAAAACAAAUCAUUGUGUGACCACAGUGGUAAAGUUGAUGACCUCAAGCUCACAGCUGAACCCCCAAACCCAGUCCUAUGGGAGAUAAUCCUUGCUCUUUCUACCUGCUCUCCAAAACUCUAAAAGUCAAGUCAACAGGAAAUUCCAGAGACACCUCAAUGGAUUGAUGCUUCUAAGAGUAAUAUCCUCUUCUACCAGUCAGAAAUUGUGAAUCACAGCCCCUUUAGCUCUGUUACUAAUCCAGAACUUUAUCUGGCUACAUACUAGAAGGCAGGACUACCAUUGCACGUGGCAAAAGGACUGCCUUCUCUUACUCAAUUCUGAGUGACGGAUGCAUAACAGCACAGACUUUUGAAAUGUUGGAAAUAAAGAGAUUUCUGUGCCAUAAU